rnacentral:rRNA from 1 species
CCUACGGGAGGCAGCAGUAGGGAAUUUUCGUCAAUGGGCGCAAGCCUGAACGAGCAAUGCCGCGUGAACGAGGAAGGUCUUCGGAUCGUAAAGUUCUGUUGAAGGGGAAAAAGAGCGGAGAGAGGAAAUGGUCUCCGAUUGAUAUUACCCUUCGAGGACGUCACGGCUCACUACGUGCCAGCAGCCGCGGUAAUACGUAGGUGGCGAGGGUUAUCCGGAAUGAUUGGGCGGAAAGGGUGCGUAGUCGGCCUGCUAAGGCUGGGGGGAAAGGUACCGGCUCAACCGGUGCAGGCGCUGGAAACUGGCGGGCUAGAGAGCAGGAGAGGGCGGUGGAACUCGAUGUGUAGCGGUAAAAUGCGUAGAUAUCUGGAAGAACACCAGUGGCGAAGGCGGCCGCCUGGACUGUUACUGACGCUGAAGCACGAAAGCGUGGGGAGCAAAUAGGAUUAGAUACCCUAGUAGUC